GGUGCGGCUAUAAGACUGUUGACUGUUCACUUUAACUGUGUAUCGCAGUUUUAUCCAAGUUACUUUUGUUGGACCUUGUUUAAUAAUUGAGAAGAUGCCAAAGACACGAGCUAAGACAAGAAAAGUUGACAGGAGGACCCUAAGAAAAGAAAGAUUUCAUCAUUUGGGAAAGAAAAGUUGGGAAAAGAGAAGAGAAAAGAAAUUAAAAGAUUGUGAUUCCUGUGUCACUGUUUCUAGAGUCGAUGUACCAUUGCCUGUUGUGCAUGUAAGUUCUUCUUCAAUAAUUUUUAGUGAGUACCUAUUUAAAAUACAUUUAAAGUACAUUAAUUAAGAAGAAAUUGCAUGCAUUUUGACUCAAAACUAGUUACUUCAGUUGUGCCUAUUUGGGCAAUCUCCUGCCUAAUAGAUAAUGUUUUAAGGAGUGUCUCACUUUUGAUACCACCAUGAUUAAGUUUACUUUUGAUACCACCAUGAUUAAGUUUACUUUUGAUACCACCAUGAUUUUACCGCCAUCAUUUCAAAAACAGUGUUCAAAUGCACUAUUUCCUUCCUACAUAAUGGUCCUACUUUACUUUUAGAGAUUUCCUACUUUUAGAGAUUUUGAGUAUUGUUAAUAAAAUUUUUCUUGAAGUGUGCAAAAAAACUUCAAAAGUGAUUGAUCCAGUGUAAUUAAGAAUCAUCCAGUGUAAAAAAGAAGUACAAUGUAUUUGUACAAGGAGUGGACAGGGUUUUGUCCUUCUAAUGGCUGGCUAUUUAUUUUUGUAGAUUAAUUUUGGAAUGAAUAUUAGGAUGUAAAAAUGGCUACUUAGUGAUAAUCACCAUAGUUUUAAAGAACUACUGUAAUGUGAUCUUUUCAGACCUGGGGUCAAUUACAAUUGUAAUUAUAAUUUAAUGGUCAAUUACAAUUACAGUUGUGUAAUUGUAAUUGAGCUUCAGCUUACGUAAUUGAAGUUUCAGUUACAUUUCAUUUACAGAAUGUACAGAUACACAAAAAAAUGUUUUUAAUGUACACUAGUGUCUAUUGGUUUAUUUGAUAACUGCAAAUCACUACCUGAUGUAAAUUCUAAGCCACAGUGUAAGCAUUGCAAUGUAUCUUUUUGACAUCAAGUUGUAAUUGUAAUUGAAAAUGUAAUUGAAAUUACACUGUCAUGGUGUAACUGUAAUUGUAAUUGAGCCUCUUCUUGCAAAAGGAGCGUAAUUGAAUGCGUAAAUAUAAUUGAGCUUUUGUCAUUGACCCCUAGUCUGGAUCUUUAUAUCAGUAAUUUCAAUGAUUUUGCCAAAAAUAUCUGUCACUUUAGCUAACCUCAGGCACUAUUCGUUUAAUUUCUAAUUGCACAUUUUGAAUGAAUUAUAUUCUAGUAUGCAGUAGCUGUACUCUGGCAGUUUUGGUAUACUUUCUUAUGCAUCCAUGUACCAUGGGAACAAUAGAUUAUUCAUGCAUGUCAUUUUAAAACCUCAGUUAAAGUUAGUUUUGUAAUUCAUAUUGUAUUUUAAAUUUUGAGCAUUGCAUCAAAAUUAAGGAACUAUACCUUAUGUGGUUGCCUUUUUGCCAUCUAGUGAGGGAAGAAAGUUACAAAGAAAAUACUGUAGUUUUUGGUAAAUUUAAUCUGCCAGUAGAUUUUAAAAAAUUCACCUGAUGAACUGGUGAUGUCUUUUCGUUCAGAAACAGCUUUUUGUUGAUACCAGAGACUUGAUGGCUAUUAAAAUAAUGUAUUUGCAAUUCUGUCUCAUAUUUGAUUACAUAACCACUGUUCUUUAAGUGUUAGAAACGUUAAACAUUCCCAUUAACAAAGAACUGAAACAUAAGGUUAAAUGUAUUGAGUCAACUUAAUUGUUUUAUUUUUUGUAAAUAGUUAUGACAUUUUUUACAAAAAUGUAUUCGUCUUUACAUUUCUUCUUAUCAUUUCUGUCUACAUACAUACAUGUAUUCUGUGCAGUUUUAAAUUUAAUCCUAAUGCAGUGUUAAAUGGCAAUGAUCCUGCAUGUGAGAGAGCCCCUAAUAGGCUUUCAUUUAUAUACAGUACAGGGCGUAAAAAGAUAAGUAGCUACUCUACUGUUGCGUAGGUACAGUUUAGAGAGAAAAAAA